UCCCUGGUGGUCCAGUGGCUAAGACUCCACGCUUCCAACGCAGGGACCCAGGUUCGAUCCCUGGUCAGGGAA